rnacentral:tRNA from 1 species
UUGCCUGUAGCUUAACCUUAAAGCAUUGCACUGAAAAUGCUAAGAUGGUUUACCUGAUCAAC